UGAGAGUUGAAAUUUUAAUAUGAGUGUUCGAGAAAGGUCUAACUUAACAGGUAAUGUUUGUACAAGAACUUGAAGAAUGAGGAUGAAUGGGAUAUAUUUGAAAAAAGGAUUCCAUAAGGAGGGACAACAGCAAGUAAAAUAGCCACAAAUAUGAGCAUGCCAAGCUUUCUUAAUUCAGACUGAGGAGGCCAGAUGACAAGAGCAGAAUAAACAAAAGGAAUAGUGUAGAAAAUAAAGUUGGAGAAAUAAGUGAGGAAGACUGGAUAAUGCUGGCCAUAGGAUCUCAUGAAGGGGAGAGAGUAGGAGUAUGGUUACCAUUGGACAAGCUAGUACAACAAUCCAGGUUGGAGACAGUCAUGAUUUGAACAGGGGACACGACACUAAAGGAGAACCCAAAACAUCCCUGAGAUUUGGUAUGGUUGGAUACGGCAACAAGAGCAAGAGGUAGAAUACCACUCAGAGUUUCAUGCAAGCAAGAAUCUGGAAAGAAGCUGCACAGGACCCACUCACCCGUAUCAAUAAUACCGAGGUGUUGAAGAGAUGUAGGAAAUGGCUGUGGAUCAUGAAAUAGAAAUUGCUUUAAAUGAGAAUCAACAGAAAAAAUCAUGGCAGUCCUAUUGAAACAAACUCCAUGUCCAGAAAUUUAAAUAGAUAAAGAACAGAAAAUCUGAAAAAGAGCAAGGAGCAACUGAGCCAUCAUCAUACAGAGGCACUGCACUGUGAUGAUAUACAGUAUAAAAAAAGACACUACACACUGGAGAAGAUUUCAUAUCCAUGUGCAUAGAGAGGACUCAAAACUGGAAACUAACAAGCAUUUCCAUCUAAGAUUACGAUUAAAUGGGAAAUGAUUAGUACUAUUGUUGCAAUGAAAAUGAGAGAGAAAUGCCUGGGAUGGAUGGCAUUUAAAGUAGGAUUUCUGAUCAAAAGAGUGAUUAACCCUUGCAGAACAAGUGAAAGAAAAAGAGAAUUUACCUCUUUGGAGUGGAGAUUUUCAUCCUCUUUAUUCAAGAUCAUCAGAGCCUAAAAGAGAACCCAGCAUGUUAUUGGCCACACUUGGAGAUGAAGAAUGGGCUGGAACAUGUACCCUUUGGCAGAGAUCUUGCCUUCCAGGAAAGGACUACAAUAAGGAGUUGUAAGUCUCCUGGGAACACUCUCCCUGAAGAGCAGGUCUGCAGUUGCCCAUUUGCCCUACAACUUACUGGCUGGAUACAUUCAAUUCAGAAGGAAAGUGCAGUAAGAAUGCCAUUGGGUACCUCAAACUCAAGUUCAUUUUGCCAUUUAGCUUUACCAAUAACACUUGAUGUUUUUCUAGAUUUCUAAUUGACAGAUAGAUGAUAGAUACAUAGAUACCUAAAUUGAAAAUUGGCUCAAAAUUAGCAGAAGAAAAGG
ensembl:lncRNA